rnacentral:rRNA from 1 species
AUGGAUCACACGGAGGCGUUGCCCGACGACGCACUCGCGGCGAUCCUCGGCCGCCUCCAGCCGCAUGACCUCGCCGCGUCCCGGUGCGUGCGCAGGGCAUGGCGCGCCGUCGUGGACGCCCGGGGGCUGCUGCUCCCGCACCUCCUCCCGCACUCCGUGGAGGGCAUCUUCGCCAACUACACCGACCACCACCGCCCACAAUUCCUUGCCCGCCCCUCCACGCAGCACCCCCGUGUCGACUACAGCAACCUCCACUUCCUGCCCGACUACACAGAAGGCCAUAGAAAGAUCAUGGACCACUGCAAUGGUCUCCUGCUCUACGGCAACACGAGGGGUUUUUUUGUGGCCAACCCCGCCACGCGGCGGUGGCAGCGCCUGCCUGGAGCGCACGAUGAUGGGGAAUGCCGUGAAGCCUAUCUCACGUUUGACCCGGCCGCGUCGCCGCACUACGAGGUGUUCUUGAUCCCUCCUAAGGAUCUAGGGCUGUUCGAUGUGACAGACUGCGACUUGGCGAAGGUUCAGCCAGAACAGCUUACCGAAGAAAACUUCACGAUAAGUUCAGGCUACUUGUCGGAACCUCCAUGGAGCACCGUGGUUCUGCAACACUGGACAGAAUGGCCGCCGCCCGUGUUGACGCUCAACGUUUUCUCGUCAAGCAUGGGACAAUGGCAGGAGAGGUCGUUUGUCAGGGAAGGCAGUGCUACGAGGAGAGUGGUCAACGUGCGGGGUUCACUGAUGUUCACAACCAAUUGGGUGACAAGAUGGAGUGCGGAUUUUCAGAGGCCGAGCAUCAGGCAGGCCGGUAUCCUUGGCGUUGGAAUGUGCUUCGGGAUGUGGAAUCCGUCAGGCUGUUGGCAGGCUCGUGUCGGCCUAGUGUUUCAUAUACACACCUAG